rnacentral:rRNA from 1 species
CGUUCUAUGUGUGGAGAAGGUGUACCGUGAGGAGCGCUGGAACGCAUAGAAGUGAGAAUGCCGGUAUGAGUAGCGAAAGACAGGUGAGAAUCCUGUCCACCGUAAGACUAAGGUUUCCAGGGGAAGGCUCGUCCGCCCUGGGUUAGUCGGGACCUAAGGAGAGACCGAAAGGUGUAUCCGAUGGACAACAGGUUGAUAUUCCUGUACUAGAGUAUGUAGUGAUGGAGGGACGCAGUAGGCUAAUAAAGCAGACGAUUGG